AUGGCGCAAAGCCUUCUAGAAUGUUCAGCAACUUGGCUUUCUUUUCUCAGCACUGUUCUCCUAUGAGCCGCUACUCUCCUCUCCUUGUCUCUCUCAAACUUAACCACCAAAAAUAAAAUCAAAUCAACAAAAUAAGAAUAACUUUAUGAAUACCCAGAUAUUAAAAUUACACCAAACAAAAAAGUAGCUCAGAAUUUUAGAUAGAAAUAAAAAAUUGAACUUCUCAAAACUUCAUAAAUAGCCUAGAUAAUAA